CCUACGGGAGGCAGAAGUGAGGAAUAGUGGGCAAUGGGCGCGAGCCUGAACCAGCCAAGUAGCGUGAAGGAUGACUGCCCUACGGGGUGUAAACUGCUGUUAUAAAGGAAUAAAGUGAGGCACGUGUGCCUGUUUGUAUGGACGUUAGGAAUAAGGAUCGGCUAACUCCGUGCCAGCAGCCGCGGUAAUACGGAGGAUCCGAGCGUUAUCCGGAUUUAUUGGGGUUAAAGGGAGCGUAGAUGGGUUGUUAAGUCAGUUGUGAAAGUUUGCGGCUCAACCGUAAAAUUGCCAUUGAUACGGGCAGCCUUGAGUCCAGUUGCGGUAGGCGGACUUCG
rnacentral:rRNA from 1 species